GCACUGUAGUUGGUGAACUCGUCCAAGAGGCGAGCGAGAGGAGCCGCGUGCGUUAGUUGGAGGGGAAGCCAGUGAUGGUGUAUCGAAUUUGUGAGGCCGAGGUGCGUCGAGGGGACAAAGAGUGGAAAAAGAUACGAGAGGACGGCCGCAAUUAAAGCUGGGAUUGUGUGGCUGCCUUUCCAGGCUGCGGCGGAUCCUUAUCCCUCUACCACCCCAACUCCUUGUUUCUUUCUCCUCUCUCUCUGUCUCUCCCAGCGGUCUCUCCUUGAUCGGUGAGUACUUGUAGCAACUUUUCUUGGGAUUCUGAAGCUUUCUUGCUGGUGGGUUGCUGAGGGGGGGUGGUUUUCUGCGAGAAAGUUCGCACUCGGGGGUAAUGAGGAGAGGUUUUUGGUUGUGAUAUGUCUUGAUUGUGGAAGCAUGAACGUUCGGUCUUGGCAUUCGGUUUCUUGAUUCUAGAGUCUUCCGGGUCGUGUUUCGGGGGGAUGUAGGGGGAAUGGAGGGCUCGGAGGAGGCGUCGGGGUGGGAGAGGUCCUCCGCUUCCAGGGCCCCCAACACCGCCGACUGCGUCGCCUCGAGCGACAGCUUGGGCGCGGCGGCGGCGGCGGCCGGCUGGGGAGGCAAGUCGAUGGAAGAGGGAGAGGAGGAGGAGGAGAUGGGCCGCCCUCUGUCCUGCACCGAGGACGGGAGCUUUCGGCCGGCCGGCGCGGCGGUGGCGUCUGCGGCGGCGGAGGAGGAGGAGGAAGAGGAGCUCGGGGACGUGAGCCUGAGGGAGUGGCUGGACUGGCCGGGGCGGCCGGUGGACCUCCUCGAGAGCCUCCACGUCUUCCGGCAGAUCGUCGAGGCGGUGAGCCUCGCCCACUCGCAGGGUGUCGUCGUCGGCAACGUCCGCCCCUCCUGCUUCGUUCUAUCGUCCGUCAACCGCGUCUCCUUCAUCGAGUCCGCCUCCUGCUCCACCUCCGGCUCCGACUCCUGCGAGGACACUGGCGGCGGCUCCGAUGAAAAGCCCACAGGCCGUCGGCUCGUAGACCAAGAGAUGACUCCCGAGGAGGGCACCUCCGAAAAGGCGUCGGACACCAGCUGCCUGCGCUCGGGCUCGGCGUACCCCGAGGAGGUGGACGGCGGUGGAAGGGAGGUGGAGGUGGUGGGGGAGGAGAAAAAGGCAUUUCCUUUGAAGCAGAUACUGCUUAUGGAGUUAAAUUGGUAUACGAGCCCAGAGGAAGCCGGCGGCAGUCCAAGUACAUUCGCCUCGGAUAUCUACCGAUUGGGUGUUCUUCUGUUUGAGUUGUUCUGCACGUUCAACUCCCUGGAUGAGAAGCUCAGGACCAUGUCCAACUUGAGACAUCGUGUUCUCCCCCCUCAGCUACUGCUCAAGUGGCCAAAGGAAGCUUCUUUUUGCUUGUGGUUGUUGCACCCUAAGUCGGAAAGCAGACCGAAGAUAAGUGAGAUAUUGCAAAGUGAGUUCCUAAAUCAACCUAAAGAUAGUUUGGAAGAGCGUGAAACAGCAAUCAAGUUGAGAGAGGAGAUAGAAGAUCAGGAAUUACUCCUGGAAUUUCUUUUGCAGUUGCAGCAAAGAAAACAGGAAGCUGCUGAUAGAUUGCAUGAUACAAUCUGUUUUCUCUCUGCUGACAUAGAAGAGGUUCUAAACCAGCAGUCAAUUCUCAAACAGAAAGGAGGCUCCUAUACAGAAUCAGACAAAGAAGAGCAUUCAGCAAUAAAUAAAGAGGACUCACAGUUGCAAUAUCCUGCAAUAGAUGAGGACUCAUCCUGCUCUAGUUCCAGAAAACGCUUCAGACCAGGAAUUCAUAAUUUAAAUGAAGAGGAGCAUAAUAAUAUGCUUGAUGCAGGUCCCAUAUCAGAGAUACUCCAUCCGAUUCAGGAAAAUAUUCCAUCAAAAAGUUCUCGAUUAAUGAAGAACUUCAAAAAAUUGGUGGCAGCCUAUUUCUCAACAAGAUACAGGAUGGUGAAGCCAUCAAGCACACCCAUAAUUAAUGAAGUUACUGGUGGUGGGAGAGGAUCAGUAGUUGUCAGGAGUGAAGGAAGUUCAGUUGAUGAUAUGAUUUCUAAAGAAGGCCAUUAUGGUGGAAGAAAGAAUGGAUGGAUAAAUCCAUUUCUUGAGGGAUUAUGCAAAUUUAUGACAUUUAGCAAGUUGAAAGUUAAGGCUGAACUAAAGCAAGGAGAUGUGUUAAGCUCUUCAAAUUUAGUAUGCUCCUUGGGUUUUGAUCGGGAUAAAGAAUUUUUUGCGGCUGCCGGUGUAAAUAGGAAAAUUAAAAUCUUUGAAUGUGAUAUGAUUCUAAGUGAAGAUCGUGACAUUCAUUAUCCUGUAGUUGAAAUGGCUAGUAGGUCAAAACUAAGCUGUAUUUGCUGGAAUAAUUAUAUUAAGAACCAGAUUGCUUCAAGUGACUUUGAAGGCAGAGUGCAGGUUUGGGAUGUUACAAGAAGCCAUGUUUUUAUGGAAAUGAGGGAGCAUGAGAAGCGUGUAUGGUCUGUUGACUUUUCGCUUGCAGAUCCAACAAAGUUGGCUAGUGGAAGCGAUGAUGGUGCAGUGAAGCUGUGGAAUAUCAAUCAGGCAAUUCUAUUCUUGCACUUGGUGCUGGAAGCAUUGGUACUAUCAGAACAAAGGCAAAUGUGUGCUCUGUGCAGUUCCAACCUGAUUCUGCAUGCUUGCUAGCAAUUGGUUCAGCAGAUCAUAACGUCUACUGCUAUGAUCUUCGUAACAUGAGAAUGCCUUUUUAUACAUUAGUUGGUCACACAAAGACUGUGAGCUAUACAAAGUAUCUAGAUUCAUCAAAUAUUGCAUCUGCAUCCACUGACAGUUCGUUGAAACUUUGGGACUUUUCUUCAAGUACAUCAAGGAUACUAGACAACCCUCUUCGAACUUUCAGUGGGCAUACAAAUGUAAAGAAUUUUGUUGGCCUCUCUAUUUCUGAUGGCUAUAUUGCUACAGGUUCAGAAACUAAUGAGGUCUUUAUCUAUCACAAAGCCUUUCCUAUGCCAGUUUUGUCGUACAAAUUCGACAUGACAGACCCCAUAUCUGGCCAGGAGGUUGAUGAUGCAUCGCAGUUCAUUUCAUGUGUCUGCUGGCGUGGCCAAUCUUCCACCUUGCUUGCUGCAAAUUCUAGCGGGAAUAUCAGAAUCUUGGAGAUGGUAUGACUCCAGAAUUAGAAGUGGGUCACAUAUCUUGGGAAAUACUUUGUCGACAUGAUGAUGUUUAUCCUUGAAAAAAAGUUCAGAGAGUCCAGCUGAGGCAGUUGGUAAUUCGAAAGCAUGGAUUUGUGUUUGUGGUGAAGUUCUCGAAUCUGGUGGUUCCAUAAUGAUAGCAUAGGGAAAGCUGAUAAGCAGAUGUAACAUGUAAAGGGAAGGAAGAAAAAGAGGGAGGCGGGGGGAAUUAUGUGUAAAUCAUUGAUUGGAGGUACGCACCAUAGUUGAUUAAAUGAACCCUUUUUACUCGAGUUCUUCAGGUUUUUUAGCAUGCACAUU